rnacentral:rRNA from 1 species
CGAAGCCCCGGUAAACGGCGGCCGUAACUAUAACGGUCCUAAGGUAGCGAAAUUCCUUGUCGGGUAAGUUCCGACCUGCACGAAUGGCGUAAUGAUGGCCACGCUGUCUCCACCCGAGACUCAGUGAAAUUGAAAUCGCUGUGAAGAUGCAGCGUACCCGCGGCUAGACGGAAAGACCCCGUGAACCUUUACUACAGCUUGGCACUGAACAUUGACCCUACAUGUGUAGGAUAGGUGGGAGACUUUGAAACGCAGACGCCAGUUUGCGUGGAGUCGUCCUUGAAAUACCACCCUUGUAGUGUUGAUGUUCUAACUUGGCCCCAUCAUCUGGGGUGAGGACAGUGCCUGGUGGGUAGUUUGACUGGGGCGGUCUCCUCCCAAAGAGUAACGGAGGAGCACGAAGGUGGGCUAAUCACGGUCGGACAUCGUGAGGUUAGUGCAAUGGCAUAAGCCCGCUUAACUGCGAGAAUGACGGUUCGAGCAGGUGCGAAAGCAGGUCAUAGUGAUCCGGUGGUUCUGUAUGGAAGGGCCAUCGCUCAACGGAUAAAAGGUACUCCGGGGAUAACAGGCUGAUACCGCCCAAGAGUUCAUAUCGACGGCGGUGUUUGGCACCUCGAUGUCGGCUCAUCACAUCCUGGGGCUGAAGUCGGUCCCAAGGGUAUGGCUGUUCGCCAUUUAAAGUGGUACGCGAGCUGGGUUUAGAACGUCGUGAGACAGUUCGGUCCCUAUCUGCCGUGGGCGUUGGAUGAUUGAGAGGGGCUGCUCCUAGUACGAGAGGACCGGAGUGGACGAACCUCUGGUGUUCGGGUUGUGUCGCCAGACGCAUUGCCCGGUAGCUAAGUUCGGAAUCGAUAACCGCUGAAAGCAUCUAAGCGGGAAGCGAGCCUCAAGAUGAGUCAUCCCUGAUACUUUAAGUAUCCUAAAGGGUUGUUGGAGACUACGACGUAGAUAGGCAGGGUGUGUAAGCGCUGUGAGGCGUUGAGCUAACCUGUACUAAUUGCCCGUGAGGCUUAACCAUACAACACCCAAGGGGUUU